UACGUAGGGACCAAGCGUUGUUCGGAUUUACUGGGCGUAAAGGGCGCGUAGGCGGCGUGGUAAGUCACCUGUGAAAUCUCUGAGCUUAACUCAGAACGGCCAAGUGAUACUGCUGUGCUAGAGUGCAGAAGGGGCAAUCGGAAUUCUUGGUGUAGCGGUGAAAUGCGUAGAUAUCAAGAGGAACACCUGAGGUGAAGACGGGUUGCUGGGCUGACACUGACGCUGGGGCGCGAAAGCCAGGGGAGCAAACGGG
rnacentral:rRNA from 1 species